UCUCAACUGGGAGUUCUGUUUGUUUCACCUAUUUUUUGUUUUUUUCUGUUUCCUCUCUCUUUACUGCUACGACUACUCAUCAACAAUACCACUCUACGUUCAUCAAUUCAAGGUGGAAACUUUCAAGUCUCCCCCCUCUUCUUACUUGUUUCUCUGUCUUUAGGGAUAUUUCAACANUCCAUUGAAAACUGCACAAGGAGAAAGAUGGAAUAUGACCAGUAAAAGGUAUUAUUCGGCUCCAUGCAUUACUUUUUUAUUACAUAUAAGUCAAAUGUGGUAAUAAAACAGUAAAAAAAACUAUCUUCUUUCCUCUUCUAUCUCAACUGGGAGUUCUGUUUGUUUCACCUAUUUUUGUUUUUUUCUGUUUCCUCUCUUUACUGCUACGACUACUCAUCAACAAUACCACUCUACGUUCAUCAAUUCAAGGUGGAAACUUUCAAGUCACCCCUCUCUUCUUACUUGUUUCUCUGUCUUUAGGGAUAUUUCAAUAAGAUUUGGAAUUCAGUUGAAUUUGAGUGAGAAUCGAUUCGAUUUUGCUGAUUGUCUGACCACUUCUUUAUCAAAUCCAGAAUAUAGUCAAUUCCAAACGAAGAAAGGCCCAUCAUCCCUUUCUUUCUUUUUCUGUUAUAUUUUUAGUUAUUUCUUGAUGGAAUUUUCUGGGUCCUCUAUAUAUACCAGGUACUGUAAUUUUGACUCUGUUUAUUUCUUUAGCUUAAAUUCGACAAGAUUGAUGGGUUAUUAGGGUUUCAGCUAGCAAAAAUUCAAGGGAUGUCAUUCUUUUUCCUUUUUCCUUUUUGAUAUUAAGUUUGGUUAAUUAGCUGAUGCAGAAGUUCUACACUUGAACAACUUUAAGCAAAAUUUGGUUUUCUCCAGCUUUCGCAAUGAAAGUGAAUUGCUUUGCUUUAAUUUAUUUAUUUUAACUAGCCCUUGAUUUUCUGUUUGGUAUUAUUAUCGCUAAUUGGGAAUGGAAGACGUACAAUUUUCAUAUAGAAGCAAGCAUGGGAGUGCGCAGUUUCACGUCUGUCUUGUGAUAUUGAUGUCACCUUUCCUUUUUUGUUCAGUCACUUAAUGUUCUUACCUUGACUGCAUUUGUAUCUAACUUUUGAAUUUUAUUUAUUUUUUUCCAUGCAGAAAGUACUUGAGAAUUUGACCAGCUAUAUAUCUUCUGAUUAUUAAAGGCACAGGUAAACAUAUUUAUCUCUAUUCAACAUUUUACACUCUGACCUCGUGAGUUGCCAACUGUUUUGUUGGUUGUCUUCAUUUAAUGAGUUUGGACUUUAUCACUUGGCUUGUGCUUGUUUUUCAAAUUUCCUUGUGAUGUUUGCCUUGUUCGUGUAUGCUUCCUUAAUGUUACUGUACAAGAUAUCGUAUCUGAAAGAGUAUUUGUGUAUAUGUGUACAUUGAGAGUACCCUUGCCCUUCUAUUUUCUUUAUUCUGGGUUUCUAUUUCGCAUGUCCAAUUUUUGAUUGUUUACUGAUUGGGCUUGCAAAUAAAGGAAAUUCAAGGAUAUGGGAUGCUUUGUAUCAACGCCGAAGGACACAGGUGGAAACAGAAAGAGACCAUCAAACAUUGGUGAGGUCUCUGUAUUUGUGCCAGGUUUAAGGAUUCCUAAGACCGUGGAUUUCUCCCAGGCAUUAGGCGAUCAUUUGUCUAAAAGUUUAGUGGAACGUCUUUCUGCACUUAGAACCAGAAUUGUAGUUAUGGCUGCACAAGAAGCUCCGACUAUUACAAGAACAAGACGGAGAACGGCUACUCAACAUGGUUAUUUGUAGAACCCUUACAUUUUUUGUUUUCUGAUAUUGCAUCUUGAUGUUUGACCAGAUAUUUCCUGCAGGUGGUUCAACUCUGGGAGAUCUUCUUCAGGCUCUCGAAGAUUAUUUGCCUGUUCUUUUGGGUUUGGUUAAAGAUGGUAAACAUGUUAGGCGUCAAUCUAGUUACCAGAUAUGCUGGGAAGAUAUUGUUCCUAAGCGUUAAUUCUUUUCAUUGUAUAGGGAGCCCAUUGCAACACAAAGUACAGUUUGUUUGGGUCAAUCAGGAGGAUGAAGCAGAGGUCAAAUUAGCAUUCUCAACUAACAACCUUCUGUUUAAUAAUUUUUUUCUUUUCAGGGCACUACUCAUCUUACCGUUAUUAUUUAUUAUCCAGGAAACGCCAAUGUAUAGUGCUUGGUAUGAAGUAUUGUCAGUUUUGCACUUGAUGGCAAUGCUAUCAUUGUCCCAAGCUAAUCUUUUGCUUCUUCCUAGAACAUCUGCUGAUGGUUAUCAACCAAAGAUGUCAGAAGGUAGGUUGUUAUUGCUAAAUCCAAUUUUGCAGAAGUAAUAUGGUUAAGUAGUUAAACUGCAGAUGUCACCAAACAUCUUGAAAAGAUUUGUAACUUUUACAUUUAUUGAAUCACAUCUUUAAUCAUAUAUUGUUUCUUUUAACCUGUUAUUAUUUUAAGAUAUGGUAGCAUAGCUGAUUAAUGUGCGGCAUGUGCACAUACUUAAUAGUUAGUGCGGUAGUAUUUGUUGGCACUCCUCCUCUGAUUGAAAUUGGAUUUCGAAGAUUACUCAAAAAUAUUCAGUCGUCGACAUGAUUUCAUUAAAUCAUAAAGAAACCCUACAUAAGAAGGAACUCAUGUGAUUGAAAGGUUCUAUUGGUAAUGACCUGGAGGAGAAUAUAACAUGACUGUCAUAUGGUAUUCUGGCUAGGUGUGGACAUAGCCUGUCGCAAUUUGGCCUUGUUUGAGCCCCAUUAAUUUUUUGUAAUGUAUUACGGAAUAGUAAAUUGAUGGGAAAUGUAUGGUUAAAAAGAAGGAAUUUUUUUUGAUUUGCCUGUAAUAUUAUUUUUAAUGAAGAAUGUAUGGUUGAAAAUGAAUACUGUAGAAUAAAUAAUGGGAAUGAAUGUGAAAAAAUGGGACUCAAACAGGGGCUUUAUUGAUGAGAAGGAUGUGUUUGCACUCAAAUCAGUGUUCUCACAAAUGAAAGCCAAGAUUUUCUUCUUACAACAUAAGUUAUCCUAGUGAUGAUUAUGUCUAAUGCUGCAUAAAUGUUUAUUAUUCUCUAUAAAUAAAAGUCCAUAAGAGAUAUAACCAAGACGAGCAAAUGUUAUGCCGAUAUUAGAACAACACUAUUUGAAGAUUUUAUCAGCUCAUUAUCAGGGUAAAAUAUGUGGCUCCUUGUAUUUGGGUGAGGACCUAGACAUGGAUAUUAGAUGGACUCAGGGCGUGCAGUUUUUCAAAGAGAUGGGAUAGAAAAUGUUAUGGAGAUAUUUAAUGGAAACCCUUUGACUUGCAGGUAGUCAUAUGAUAUUAGAGGUCAUCAGUGUGAGAGGAUUCCUAAUCCUCUUAACAAUUUUUAUAAUUUUGUGAAUCACCUUUCUUAUUUAAAAUUGGUCAUUGAAGCUGCUGGAUUCCUUUGGUCUUUACUUUGUUUGCCAUUCUUUUGCUUAUACUUCAUUUCAAUCUUUUUUCCUUUGUAUCUUCCUUUAAUUGUAAAAUUACUCUUAGAAUAAUCUGACCAUUCUUCCUUUUCAAAAUUACUCUUAUAAUAAUCUGACCAUUUUUCCUUUCCAAAAUUUCAUUAUAACCUGGAAAGUAUAAUUGUUCCCAUCACAUCGUAAUGAGUCUUCUCUGUGGCCAAAACUAGAAGCAUAAUAGAAAUAUUUUGUAUGUCUGGGAGAGUUUUUGUGCUUCUAUGUGAGCUAAUAUAUGUUUUAAGUAGACAUGUAAAAGUGAAGCCCUUGGAAGAUGUAGUCUCCACAAGCUUGUGUUUUCAGUGUACUGCAAUUUCUAGCUUUUGAUUUGGAGCCAAAAUAUUCUGAUUGCGCUUGAAAGUAUGCAAAGAAUCUUAAUUUCACCUUUUCUUGUUUAGCAUCUGAACUACUUCGGUCGAUUCAUAUCUGUAUCCAGUCGCAUGCUUCAUACAUUUUUUUUCUCAUUUCUGCCUUCUUUUGUCCCUUUUCCAACAGAGAGCAGGCGAUCUGCUAUUGAUAUUUUCCUUAAGGCUGCCGGUUACCUUGACUGUGCAGUCCGGCAUGUUCUUCCCCAAUUGCCUUCUGAACACAGGUAUCUUGAUAAUGACUUUUGAUUAGCAAUUAGAAUCAUCUCCAUGAACCGUGGGAUCACCCUUUGACCAUAUGCAUUAGGAGAAAUCUACCUGUGGACCUUGCAGAAGGUGUUCUACGAGCACUUUGCCUCCAAGCGUUGGGCCAGGUAUUCACAUAUCAAGCUUUUGAUGGGUACCUGGACUAGAUUUGGGUUUUUCUGUUUAUGAUGCUGCAUAAAUUAGACCACCAGAAAGAAAUGAAAAUGGCAAAUAUUUUCAUAAAAAUAUAUCAGCAUCUGUUGGUGUCUUCCCAAUUUUUGAAUAGUCUAUCAUUAACAAUAUAAAACAUGACAGUGUUGAUUGCUAUAAGAGGAUAUUCAAUUGAAUUGUGCUCAUAAACAUUGCAGAAAUUUUGUGUUACCAAAGCUAUGGUCACAAGUCAACAUCUUUGGUGACUUGAAAUUUUACAUGUGUGCGAGGUCACUCCAAAUGACAGGGAUAUAAUAGAGCUUUGAAAGGAUUUUACAAGAAAAUGUUAAUGAAUCAAUUAUUUCUUAAACAAUUGGCUAAAACAUUUCAUGUGAUUACUUGGGUAGAAACUUUCGCCAAAGCAUGUUAGACUUUUCAUACAGUCACUUUAUGUUGCCUAGUGUUAUUUAUGUAGUUAGGAUUGUGAUAAAACCUGAGAAAAUGUCACUUCACCCAACACACUUUAAUGUAACUAAAGACAGAAAAUGAGUUCAAUAUUUCAUAUAUGAACAUUGAUUACACGGAAUUAAAGGAUAACAAUUCUGAUAAUGCAAAAUGAAAGGAAAGAAAUAACGAGGAUAACUAUGGACGUUUGAGAGGUCCACUACUCUCCCAAUGAGUAACAAUUUCAGCCUGGUAUUCCAUAUUCUGUUGCCUCUAUUUAUAAGCUGUAGCCCAUGAAACUUCCUAACAGAUUUCCCUAACCAUACAACUGCUGCACGUGCCUUCUCUUCCCUGGUUAAUUCCCUUACUGCCCGUGCUUACUUUGCUGCGUCUCUGGUACCUCAAUCUGAUUUCGGGUCUAUCAUCACUUCCCCCCAUGAGAUCCACCUUGUCCUCAAGGUGGAAGGUAGGGAAUUGCUGUUUCAUCAAGUCAUAGGACUCCCAAGUAGCUUCUAAGAGUUUCCAUUGGAUUAAGACAUCCAAGCCUCUGAUGUUGGAUCCCACAGCUGGUCUCACUCCCAAUAAUGCCUCCGGUUCUACCAGCAUCUCUAAUUCAUCACUUAAUUUCUGGGGUACUUCCUUCACAGCUUGUAUAGCUCCCACAGCUCUGCGCAACUGGGAAACAUGGAAAACAGGAUGAAUGUUGCAGGUAGGCGGUAAGGCCAGCUUAUACGCAACUGAUCUAAUUUUCUUCUCUACAGUAAAAGGUCCAUAAAAUCUCGGAGAUAGCUUUUCAUUUGGUCUCGCGGACAAGGUUUUGCGACGAUAUGGUCUGAUUUUCAGAUAAACCAGAUCGCCUAUCUCAAACUGCACCUCUCUUCUUUUUUUAUCUGCCAGGUCCUUCAUUUUCAUUUGAGCCCGCAACAGUUGUGCUUUCAGUUCCUCUAACAUGUGAUCCCUUUCUUGUAACUGUUGGUCUAGAGCUGAUAUGGAUGUGGAUCCAUUUUCAAAUCGCAAUAAUACUGGUGGCUCGCGCCCAUACACUGCUUGGAAAGGGGUGAUCUUGGCUGUAACAUGAUAAGAAGUGUUGUAACACAGACCAGCCCAAGGUAGCCAAUUGAACCAUGAUCUAGGCUAAGAAGAUGCAAAGCACCUCCGAUAGGUUUCUAGAACGCGGUUCAAUACUUCCAACUGCCCGUCCGACUGAGGGUGGUAAGCUGUACUUCGAUUAAGCUUUGUUCCUUGUAAACGAAACUCCUCCUCCCAAAAAUGGCUCACAAGUUUCUUAUCCCUAUCUGAAACUAUGGAAUGGGGCACCCCAUGUAGUCGCACAACCUCUUUAACAAAAAUUCCAGCCACACCUGCCAUUGUAAAAGGGUGCUUUAGGCCUAUAAAAUGGCCAUAUUUACUCAAUCGGUCUACAACCACUAGUAUUGUAUCCAUGGAGCCUGAUUUAGGAAGGCCUUCAAUGAAAUCCAUAGCUAUAUCCUCCCAUACCUUAUUAGGAAUUGGAAGAGGUUGCAGCAACCCCCUUGGUGAUAGGGCUAAGUAUUUGUUCUGUUGGCACACCGUACAUCUGCUAACAUAACUGUGUAUCACAAACUUCAUACCUUCCCAAUAAACAUUUGCAGCAAUCCUCUUAUAAGUUUUAAGGAAGCCAGAAUGACCUCCCACUUUACUGUCAUGCCCCUCAUGUAGCAUUAAAGGAAUCAAGGUUGAUUGUUUUGGCUGUAGCAGUCGACCCUUGAAUAACAAUUGUCCAUUUACAAUUGCAUACUCGGGAUGGCUGGUAGGAUCUUACUCCAAUUCUUGAACAAUACGAAGUAACUGAGGAUCUUCUCUCACCUCUUUUGUUAAUAUGUCCAACUGUAAUACCGACGGUAUGGAUAAAGUCAUCAACAAAACAGAUGAAUUGACUCGGGAAAGUGCAUCGGCUGCCUUGUUUUCACAUCCCGGUCGAUAUUGAAUUUCAAACUGGUACCCCAUUAGUUUAUGUAGCCAUUUCUGAUAUUCUGGGUUUACCUCCCUUUGUUCUAACAAGAAUUUCAAGUUCUUUUGAUCGGUUCUCACAUAAAAUUUAUGCCCCAGUAAAUAGUGUCUCCAUUUUUGUACUGCGAACGCCACAGCCAUCAACUCCCUCUCAUAUGCUGACUUCACCCUUCCAUUUGGCUUAAGGGUGUGACUAUAAAAUGCAAUGGGGUGCUGGUCUGGCAUCAAAGCUGCCCCUAGGCUGGACCUUGAUGCAUCAAUUUCUAUAACAAAAGGCCGGCUAAAGUCUAGAAGUGCAAGGACUGGCAAGGACAUCAUGGCCGUUUUUAGCCUCUGAAAUGCCUGCUCCGCUGCCUCAUCCCAAAAAAAAUUUCCCCUGCGUAAUCUCUCCGUUAAGGGCCACGCCAUCUUACCAUAAUCCUUCACGAACCGGCGAUAGUAGCGUGUCAGCUCUAGGAACCCACGAAGUUCUGUUAAUGAUCUGGGAGUCGGCCAUUUCAACAUUGCUUGAAUUUUUGACUAAUCAGCGGCUACACCCCGUGAUAUGAUGUGCCCCAAAUAUUCUAUCUCUUCUUACCCAAAACUACAUUUCUUGUGAUUGUCAUACAAUUGAUGUUGCGAUAGUAUUCCCAAGACACACUUUAAAUGCUCCACGUGCUCUUCCAGAUUAUGGCUAAACACCAAAAUAUCAUCGAAGAAUACUAACACAAAUUGCCUCAAUUGCUCUUUAAACACCUCAUUUAUAAGCGAUUGAAAAGUGGCAGGCGCAUUAGUCAGCUCGAAAGGCAUCACCAGAAAUUCAAAAUGCCCUUCGUGCGUCCUAAAAGCCGUUUUAGGAAUGUCCUCAGGUUUCACCCGAAUUUAAUGAUACCCCGCCUUCGGGUCUUAGAGAAAAUGGCUGCCUCGUGCAAUUCAUCCAAUAAUUCAUCUAUCAUUGGAAUGGGAAACUUAUCCAACACUGUUACCUUGUUCACCGCUCUAUAAUCCACACAAAAGCGCCAUCCCCCAUCUUUCUUUCUCACUAGCAAAACUGGACUGGAGAAUGCACUAUUGCUUGGUCGGAUUAUCCCCGUUGCUAACAUUUCCUUCACCAACUUCUCUAUAUCAUUUUUCUGCAGGUGUGGAUAACGAUAAGGCCUCACGCUAACUGGUUCUAUCCCAGGAUGAAGAUUGAUCGCGUGAUCCUUUCCCCGCCAUGGUGGCAGCCCCACGGGCUCUGCAAACACUUCUUCAAACUCCUUCAAGACUUCCCCAACUUGGGCUAGAAUUUUUCGUUCCCCUUUUUCCUCUUCAAUUCCCAAACUUCCCAGGAGUAUUCCUUCCCCCCUUCCCUGAAUGCUUUCAUCAUCGCCUUCAGAGUGACUACAAUCUUACUAAGACUAGGAUCCCCUUGCAAGGUAACGAUGUUCCCACCUGAUCGAAAUUUCAUCGUAAGAGAUUCCCAGUCCACCUUCGUUGGGCUCAAGGUGGACAACCCCUUCAUUCCCAGGAUUACGUCGGAGCUCCCUAAUUCCAAAGGGAGGAAAUCCUCCACCACCUCCAAGUUUUGAAGGAAUAAUUUUACUCCCUUGCGUACCUCUGCCCCUUGGACAGCCAGCCCCGUUCCCAUGACUACCCCAUAACUCAAUGUCUCGGUUCUCAACAAACCCAAUUUUUGCACUAAGUUUGCCGACACGAAGUUAUGGCUGGCCCCGCAAUCGAUUAAAACCACCACUUCCUCUGCCUGAAUUUUUCCUUUAAUCUUCAUGGUCUGUGGCGGAGUAAGCCCUACCACUGAGUUUUAAGGAUAAUUCCACUACCUCCCAUUCAUCAGAUUUUUCCCCUUCAUUCGACGCCUUUGCUACUAUUUCUUCCCCCUACUGCUCGUCUCUUUGUUCAUCAAAUAUCAACAUUACCUGCAACUCUUUGUUUUUGCAUUUGUGCCCGAUUGAGUACUUUUCGUCACAACGAAAACAUAGUCCUCUCUCCUUCUUACUCCUCAACUCAGCUUCGCUGAGUCGUUUAAAUGGCGGGGGAACUGCUCCGAUGGGCAAGGCAGCUCCGGCACCUGCUCGCGAAGUUGUCAAUUUUUUGUUAGGGUUUGGGCAAUUGUACUGGUUCUGUCGUGAUGAAUUGAAGGACCAAUUGAGGCUGUUACUUGUUUUCCCUUUAGUUGGGCCUGAACCGACUACAGCUUGCAAGGCCAAAUUCUUUUCUUCAAUUCGUUGGGCCAAUUCCAUGAUCCGGUCCAAUCCUUUGGGCUAUAUGACUCUAAUUUCGACUCUUAUUUUUGGGCUCAACCCAUUUAUGAAAUGGCCCUCUAGCAUAGCCUCUGAGAUAUUCUCGAUCAGCACCACUAGAGUCUCAAACGCGAUUCUGUACUCCCCAACCGACCCUUCUCACCGGAGGGCCAAAAAAGGCUCCUCUAUAGUCCCCUCCAUGGAUGACCUGAAUCGAGUUCGCAUUAGCAAUUUAAGUUCCUCCCAACUUCGUACGCCUCUUCUCCUUUGCUCCCAUUGGUACCAUGCCAAAGAGUUCUCCUCGAAACAUAGGGCUGUCGUUUCCAAUUUCUUCGCCUCAGUUAAUUGGUUCACCUGGAAAUAGUGUUCGGCUCUAAAGAUCCACUCGUCUGGGUUCUUCCCCAGAAAUACCGGCAUUUCUAACCUCCUUCCUCUAACCUCCUGCCUCCAAUUUUCGCCGGCAAUGCCCCCUUCUCCUCGGUUUUUCAUUUCUAGGUCCGAGAUAAUCUCAGACUGCAUGGUAUACUCUGACUCCUUUGUUUCUUCUUGGCCCUUUCCCUUCCUUUCUCUCUCUGUUUCAUCCCAUUUUGACCUCAUAAAUGUGAAUUGUUCUGAAAUAAUCGCCAUAUUCUUCUCAAUGUUUUGCAUUCUAUGCAUCUCUGCUUGCAUCCUUGUAAUGCCAUGUUGCAUGUCUUCCACCUGCUCUUGCAAUUUCUGAUGAGCCCCUUCCAAACUCCCUACCUGCUCUGUUACAUUCACCAUCUGGAUUGGAAUUGCUCUAAUACCAAUGAUAGAAACUGAGAAAAUGUCACUUCACCCAACACACUUUAAUGUAACUAAAGACAGAAAAUGAGUUCAAUAUUUCAUAGAUGAACGUUGAUUACACGGAAUUAAAGGAUAACAAUCUGAUAAUGCAAAAUGAAAGGAAAGAAAUAACAAGGAUAACUAUGGAAGUUCGAGAGGUCCACUACUCUCCCAAUGAGUACCAAUUUCAGCCUGGUAUCCCAUAUUCUGUUGCCCAUGAAACUUCCUAACAGAUUUCCCUAACCAUGUAACUGCUGCACGUGCCUUCUCUUCCCUGGUUAAUUCCCUUACUGCCCUUGCUUACUUGCUGCGUCUCUGGCACCCCAAUCUGAUUUUGGGUCUAUCAGAUUGUUAGUGUUGGUACAAUGCAAAAGUCAAUUGGAAGUGGGGGGAACUAUGUAGUACAUUGUGGUUUUUUGAGAUCCAAUUUGGUCAUCGCCUAGAAUGUUCUUCGAUUCAGUGGAGUUGGCAAGGAUGUUAUAAGUUGGUAGAUUAAUCGAUCAGUUUCAGACAGAUGGUAACUAUUGGACUGGUUUACAAUGUCUGGACUGCUGGCUUAGAACUUUGGGUGGUAAUGCAUGAGUUGGAGGCUUAGUUUAGUUUCUUCUGAACUUUAUGACUGUUAACCUUUGUCAAUUACACGUGUUAUGAUUAUGUUUUACUAUCUUCGACACACAUAAAUAAACAUUUAUCUGAUGCUCGUUUGAGGUGAGCAACAGUGCCUGCUUCAUGAUAAUUGGAUUUAUAGUCUAGCCUGCGAUGUUAUAGCUCCAACACAAUGCAUGAGUUGGUGUCUUCAUUUUUAGUUUAUUUUGGACUUAUGGCUUUUUUGCCUGCGUCAGAUUAUUUAAUUACUUGCUUUUGAUGCUCAUUUAAGGUGAAUCACCUAAUCUUUCUAUUGCUUGACAUCUUCUCGUUCUCUUGAGUAGGGUGUUGAUAUUCAACUUGGACUAGCAAUUGACAGUACAAAGGCCACAUUAGCUGUGAAGCGAAGGCUUGCAUGUGAGAUGGUAAAAUAUUGGCAGCAGGUAACCCUUCUCUUUGUCUGUAUGCUUGACCAAACAAAAACCAGUUAAAAUUAUUUGAGAAGUUAUAUUUAUAUUCUCUCUCUCUCUCUCUCUCUCUCUCUCUUCUUCUUCUUCUUCUUCUUCUUUUUUUUUUUUUUUUUUUUUUUUUUUGUGUGCGUGCGUGCUUAUUAUUACCUCCAGGCUUCUUUGAUGUUCAAAGUCUCUUAUAGCUAAUGGACUCUUUUUUCCUUUUUCUUUUCAACUGCUUAUAGAGAAUGUUGAGAAAUUUCGUCAUUCUAACCUUCUCAUCCUGCUUGCUCUUGUCAUCCUAAUUAUAAUCUGCUGCUAAACGCCCAUUACUAAUUUUAUUUUCUCUUGUGCUCUUGAUUAUAGAAGUGGCUAAAUAUUGAAUAGAUUUGAUUUUGUGGUAACAAUAUCCUUUAGUAAAGAUUUACACUUUAUUCAUUUCUCUAUGUUAAGAAAUAUUAAUUUUAAUCAUUAAGCCCUAACCUAAAAUGGUCUAAUUCAGCUAAAAAUCUCAUCAUUAUUGUCGAAUUUCACUCAAAAUUGCAGAUUAGUGGCAAUGGAAUUAUCCAGGAAUAUCUGAAUCAGAGACUCGGUUUUAUGAAUGUGAAGUCUAGACUUCACGGUUUCACCUAAUCAGCUUCGUUUCAGCCGUUGCUACUAAAUAUUGCAUCUCAUUUUUGUUCCUGAAUUUUUUCAACUGCAGGUAUUAGAUCCAUAGUGGCUAUAAAUUACAUAGCCAAUAUAGAAUCAGUGUAAUGCUCAGUUCAAGCUUUGAGACAACUAUUGAAUUAUUUAAUUAAAUAUACACAGUAUUAGAAUGUUGCUAAAAUAUAAGUGGAUUUGGAUGUGUAAAGGCCAUCAUCUGAUGUGGUCUAAUAAUUAAAAAUUUCUUUGUUGUACGGAGAGCUCUUUGAUACGAAUAGACUUUGUUGGAGAUGUGCCAGACGCUGCAGAACAUUGUGCACUAGAACUCUGUCCACAAAUCCACUCUCAUAGUACAAAGGACACACUUGAAUCAAAUGCGGAGUCAGAUUAUUUUGUCUCACAACAAAAAUACUUUUUAUAAUUAGCAAAUUUGAAUGUCAUCAAAUAUUUUUACUCGAUUUUCAUUUUAGGAUUCUUACUUGUUUCAUUUACUCUGACCUCAACAAGUUGAUUAUCACAUAUUAGACAGGUUUAAGCACUGAAGUGAACUUAAAACCAAUAAUGGUCUUCUGUCACUUUGUAGGCUCAAGAUAACCUCAUGAACCUACCAUUGGCAAAUGGAUGGGGAGAAAAGCAUAGGUUCUUUGUGAAGUGGAAAUACGUUGAAGCUAAGGUAUCUUGUUUGUAUUUCUCUCACUUUAUUUGACACUUUCAAGAAGCAGUUCUUAUAUUAUUAGCAAGUGCCUUGCAAGUAGGAACUUAAUCUAAAGUUACUGGGUGCAUAACUACUAUGGUCUCUUGUACCUCAUUCCCCGGUCUUGCAAGUUGAUGAUAUGAAAAGUAACGACAGAGUGACUACUAUGAUUUUUAACUUAACAUUUACUUUCUGAGGUUUGGAUAGGUAAAUAUUCAUAAAAAUUUGAUAAUUGGGAUGAGUAUGAUUUAAUCUGACCUAUAACGAGUCUUCAUCAGCAUGCUUGUGAAUUUGAAGCUCAAAUUGAUGCAAGAAUUUCAUGUUCCUUAGGCCGCAGCAUAUUACUAUCAUGGUCUGAUUCUUGAUGAGGGAAACACAGAAAAGUCUCAUGGAAUGGCUGUAGCUGCUCUGCAAGCAGCGGAUGAGUAUCUCAAAGAAAGCAAGAAGGCUUGUGAAACUUUUAAUUCAUCCGUUCCUGUCUCUAGGUAAUGUUGUGCUCACUUUCCAACUGCUUCCAUGUUACAAAUGGGAUCGCUUGUCAAUUUCUUUCUUUAUUCAUAUUAAUUACUCAGAAAUACAUGUGUACCUUCUGUUUCAUUAUAUAACAUCGAGAAAUCUGAGAAAAUGGAGAUUCAAAAGAGAUCAGACCACACCAUUUAUGAUAGCUGUAAUUUACUCCUGUUUUGGUCCUCCAUAAGAAUUUGGUUAGGAACAUUUGAAAGGUAGCUUCUAGAACUGAGGUAUACAAAUAUAUAAGCCUUUGGAAUGGUUAUUUAUUUAUUUAUUAUUUCUUUUAAAGCUAUUUAUAGACAGUAAUUUCUUAUUUGUGUCCAUGUAGCAUGAACUAUAGCAAAUAAUGUUAGUAUUUAUUUUUUCCUAUCAGUGUACUGUAAAAAAAUGAGAUGGCAGAAAGAAAAAGCAUUGUAUAUCUUUGCAUGCUUUUGGCAUCUGUUUGGUCCUCCUAGUUUUACAUCUAUCCAUGUGACAUCUCCAUUUUUACCGAUUUUGCCUAAGAUCCAAUUUUAAAUGAAGAAAACAACAUUUUUCUACUUAAUCACGUAACAAUUUUUUAAGAUUGAAUAAUAGGUUAGUGUACAUUACAUUACGACUAAAGAUGAUCUUGAUGGCUCUGAGAAUCAGUAAAUUCUUAUUUCUGAUGCAGGAAUCCACCUCUUUGGGGAACAAUGAAGUAUCUCUCAGAGAAGAUUCCCAAGGACACUUCUAGCAAGGUCCGAAUUAACAGGGAUCUAUACUCUAGUGAAAAGUAAGUCUUCUUUAGUAUUAUAACUCCAAAAAAUACAAGUCAUUCAUGCACGUAUAUCAGCAUAGAUGUUAUACAAAUAUGGUGGUGGGGCUGCAACUCUUACGUUAACAACAGGAAAACAGUGAACCAGUUGAGCAGAAAUUUUUGGGGUCUUUGUUCACGGAAUUUAAUAGAUAUUCUUGCCUAACCACAUGGAAGCAAGGUUGGGUCUUGUCUAAUGUAAACUAAUUCUUUUGAAUGUAGAAUUAUGGAGACAGCACCAACUUUGCCUGACUUUGCAUUGGCUCUGAAACCUGAUGAAUAUCAGCUUCCUAUUGUUGAUGCAUUUUGGAAUGAGGAAACAAACAAGGCCCAAGUCAACCACGAGAAGCUUAAAGGGUAGCUUUGCACGGGUUCCACACAUAUCAAACUCUGAAAAAAUACAUGUCUGCAAAUGCAAUGGUACAUGCUGUUCAUAGACGAGGAAGGGUUGUAGAAGAAUUACCAAUCAAUUUUUUGGUUAAUUUGCAUCCCAAAGGUCCAUCCUCUUCUCUUUGGCUUUUCCAUUUCCCCCCCCUUUUGAUCUUCUUGUUAAUUGAAUCGUUUUGUAUCAUUUCCUACAAAUGUGUAAUAAUCCCCCCGUGAGAAAGAUUUGUACAACGACCUUUUAUGUUUACUUUUAACACUGGAGGGAAAGGAUAAAGAAUGAAUUUAUUUGCCAACGUAAAAAAUUCUUUUUCCUGUUGUCGUAGUUCAUAAAAAAUAAGUCGAUAAGAACUCUUAGCUCACUCGUCUGUACUCAAAACAGCUUAGUCUCGCCUUGGUGUGAGUUGAUAAAAAAAAAAGGCUAAUUGUUGAAUCCUUUUCAUCUGGUGUACAUAAUUAGCUAAGAAGAAGUGCAAUACAGUUGUUUACUUGCACGUUGGGGUACAGCAACACAAGGCAUCCAAGUGAUUAUCACACGCAACAAUCACAGAAACAUGCAUUUGUUCAUAUCUGAGUCACUUUUCCUUCCAAGUAACGAAGUUUACGUAUUAAGUUGAGGAAAAAUCUGUUCCUAAUCAACAUAGAAGGGAGGGUGAGUAAUUGUAGUCCUU
rnacentral:lncRNA from 1 species